CCUACGGGAGGCAGCAGUGGGGGAUAUUGCACAAUGGGGGAAACCCUGAUGCAGCGACGCCGCGUGUGGGAAGACGGUCCUCUGGAUUGUAAACCACUGUCCCCAGGGACGAAGAUGCCGGUACCUGGGGAGGAAGCUCCGGCAAACUACGUGCCAGCAGCCACGGUCAUACGUAGGGAGUGAGCGUUGUCCGGAAUUACUGGGUGUAAAGGGAGCGUAGGCGGGACUGCAAGUUGGGUGUCAAAUCUACCGGCUCAACCGGUAGCCGCACUCAAAACUGCAGUUCUUGAGUGAAGUAGAGGCAGGCGGAAUUCCUAGUGUAGCGGUGAAAUGCGUAGAUAUUAGGAGGAACACCAGUGGCGAAGGCGGCCUGCUGGGCUUUUACUGACGCUGAGGCUCGAAAGUGUGGGGAGCAAACAGGAUUAGAUACCCGGGUAGUC
rnacentral:rRNA from 1 species